UCCGGCUUGACGCCGGCAGUCUCCCGAGAGUCCUCAGCAUGACCUGUUAGUAACACGGGGCAAGGGUUGCGCUCGUUGCGGGACUUAACCCAACAUCUCACGACACGAGCUGACGACAGCCAUGCAGCACCUGUGUAGGCUCCCCUUGCGGGGUCGUCCCGCUUUCACGGUUCUACUACCUACAUGUCAAGGCCAGGUAAGGUUCUUCGCGUUGCAUCGAAUUAAGCCACAUACUCCACCGCUUAUGCAGGCCCCCGUCAAUUCCUUUGAGUUUUAACCUUGCGGCCGUACUCCCCAGGCGGUCAACUUCACGCGUUAGCUUCGUUACCAAGGAAUUGCUUCCCCGACAACCAGUUGACAUAGUUUAGGGCGUGGACUAC
rnacentral:misc_RNA from 1 species